CUGAAUGGCGGCGAGGUGCAUCGUGCACCAUACAUCUGUUAUGAAGGGCUCCGCUUCUACGCCGAUAAUCGCCUUCGUUGUUGUAGUCUUUCUUCUGUCCGCGAUAGAAGAUAGAGGUCCAUGGGCGUUUGCACUACCCCUUCCUCAACCAAACCCGGGGUUGGCUUCUUCUCUCGGCUUUCGACCACACUUUCCUGGCUCUAAUAACCGUUUCCACCUACCCCGCCGGCAGAAACCUUUCCCACAAAAUGUCAACAUGUUAACCCCGAAACAACGGCGGGACCUACAGAGGCAGCUGUACAAUCCCCAAAAAUACGGGCCUCACGGCAAAUAAGGAAGGCGAUGAUUCAAAAAUUGGCAGCGUGGUGUUCCUUCGAUGCGGUACUGAUUACGAUGUCGAUAAGGAGUUCGACACUACACGGAAUAAACACAAGAAAACAUCACGAGAACAUGGCUUUGGGAAAUGCUGCUAAAAGGCCAAAUAAACACUUCACUCUGUUUUGAAAUCAAUUUGCGCUUCACUGUAUACGUUUGUCACAUAUAAUAAAAAAAAUAUCUGAAAAGAA